rnacentral:rRNA from 1 species
GACAGAGGUGCCAAGCGUUAGGCGGAAUCACUGGGCUUAAAGCGUGUGUAGGCGGAUUCCUAAGUACCUUGUGAAAUCCCACGGCUCAACCGUGGAACUGCUUGGUAUACUGGGUGUCUUGAGCUACUUAGGGGCGACUGGAACAAAUGGUGGAGCGGUGAAAUGCGUAGAUAAUCAUUUGGAACGCCAAUGGUGAAAACAGGUCGCUGGGAGUAUGCUGACGCUGGAGACACGAAAGCCAGGGGAGCGAACAGG